GCACCCUGUGAUUAUAAAAAGACGCGUUAUUCUGAGGGACUCAACUGGAUAGUAGUUUUCUUUCUUUCUUUCUUUGUCUGUUCUGUUUCUUCCUUUUCUUUAUCUCCUCCUUUUGCUUCUCUACUAUCCCUCAUUCUUGAACUCCUACCCAGUCCGCUGACUGCGAUUAUGAGAUAUGAGGGUGU